rnacentral:lncRNA from 1 species
UAAUAAAAAAAAUAACCAUUGAAUCUUCCUCAAUUGAAAAAAAGGCAACUUGAAAAAAAAGUAUUAAGACAUUCGACUGUUUUCAUAUUUCUAACAAUAUUUAAUUAUAUGUGAUAAGGUUAUAUUUUUGCCAGGCUUUAAUGAAAACCAAAGAAAUCUAAAGUUUGGGGUGAAAUCCAUAGCACCCCAUUAAAAGUAAAUGGUCUGUACUGAAAUGUUUUUAAUGCAUAAAAAAAAUUGGCGGCAUAGCUCCUAAGGACAUGUUUUAAUUGAAUUCACACAGGCCACACAGUUUGGGUAUAUUUAAUAUUGUAAGAAAGAGAAUAAUUGCAAUGAGUGGGGCAGCCCCCCUUAUCCUAAAGGAGCAUACUCAUUGCAAUCGAAGAUAGAUUUAAUAUAGAGAGAGUAUAUUUAUUUUUCAAGCUAACCAUUUAUUUUCUCUACAUCUUUGUGUAGUUAGGGUUGCUUCUUAUUGAUUUGGCAUGAUCUAUAUCCAUUAACUUUUCAAAUGAGCCCUUCCUCCGUACAGGCGUGUUUACAGAUAUCCAUGAAGAUUUAAGUCACGGAGGAGUGGUUUCAUCUUUGUCGUCUUCACAACGAUUUGUAGAAAAUAUGCCAUACUUCAAGCUGCUGUCGAAUUAUUUAACCACUGAAAUUGGUUCCAUAAAGUCAGGCUCCAGAUUCUGUACCUGAUUUGUUUGAGACAGAAUGGUUAUCGUGUCAGUUAUGAAUAUCCGCUGCAUCAUCGUCAAUGAUAUCAUCACACAUCAUAACAUGUGCCUGAAUCUGUAUAAACAGUUUACUAAUAAACUUUUUUGUUUGUUAUUUGUCUUAAAAUUGACACGAGACGACAGCGUAAAGUACUCCUCCGUGACUUCAUGGAUACCUGUAAACAAUUUCCAUGUGCUUUAUCAUUAAAUGGUCACAUGAACGCUUGACGGGAAGCUAAGAAAAACCGAACUUGAAAAUGCGUAAUUGACCCAGACUUUAAAUCAUUUCCGGAAAGGACACCAAAGUUCCGGAUCGCGUCAAUAGAAGUAUUAAAAAAAAAUUUCUUCAAAUUUAAAGCAAUAAAAUUUUCACAGUCGGGAGGAUUUUCAAGGGUCGGUCGGUAAACUGCAAACAAACAUAUUUUAAUUUAAGCCUUAU